UUAAGCGACUAAGCGUACACGGUGGAUGCCUAGGCAGUCAGAGGCGAUGAAGGGCGUGCUAAUCUGCGAUAAGCGUCGGUAAGCUGAUAUGAAGCGUUACAACCGACGAUACCCGAAUGGGGAAACCCAGUGCAAUUCGUUGCACUAUUGCAUGGUGAAUACAUAGCCAUGCAAGGCGAACCGGGGGAACUGAAACAUCUAAGUACCCCGAGGAAAAGAAAUCAACCGAGAUUCCCCUAGUAGCGGCGAGCGAACGGGGAAGAGCCCAGAGUCUGAAUCAGUUUGUGUGUUAGUGGAAGCGUCUGGAAAGUCGCAGGGUACAGGGUGAUACUCCCGUACACAAAAACACACUUGCUGUGAACUCGAUGAGUAGGGCGGGACACGUGACAUCCUGUCUGAAUAUGGGGGGACCAUCCUCCAAGGCUAAAUACUCCUGACUGACCGAUAGUGAACCAGUACCGUGAGGGAAAGGCGAAAAGAACCCCGGCGAGGGGAGUGAAAUAGAACCUGAAACCGUGUACGUACAAGCAGUGGGAGCCUUGAUUUAUCAGGGUGACUGCGUACCUUUUGUAUAAUGGGUCAGCGACUUAUAUUUUGUAGCAAGGUUAACCGAAUAGGGGAGCCGUAGGGAAACCGAGUCUUAACUGGGCGUCUAGUUGCAAGGUAUAGACCCGAAACCCGGUGAUCUAGCCAUGGGCAGGUUGAAGGUUGGGUAACACUAACUGGAGGACCGAACCGACUAAUGUUGAAAAAUUAGCGGAUGACUUGUGGCUGGGGGUGAAAGGCCAAUCAAACCGGGAGAUAGCUGGUUCUCCCCGAAAGCUAUUUAGGUAGCGCCUCGUGAACUCAUCUUCGGGGGUAGAGCACUGUUUCGGCUAGGGGGUCAUCCCGACUUACCAAACCGAUGCAAACUCCGAAUACCGAAGAAUGUUAUCACGGGAGACACACGGCGGGUGCUAACGUCCGUCGUGAAGAGGGAAACAACCCAGACCGCCAGCUAAGGUCCCAAAGUCAUGGUUAAGUGGGAAACGAUGUGGGAAGGCAUAGACAGCCAGGAUGUUGGCUUAGAAGCAGCCAUCAUUUAAAGAAAGCGUAAUAGCUCACUGGUCGAGUCGGCCUGCGCGGAAGAUGUAACGGGGCUAAACCAUGCACCGAAGCUGCGGCAGCGACACUUAGGUGUUGUUGGGUAGGGGAGCGUUCUGUAAGCCGUUGAAGGUGACCUGUGAGGGUUGCUGGAGGUAUCAGAAGUGCGAAUGCUGACAUAAGUAACGAUAAUGCGGGUGAAAAACCCGCACGCCGGAAGACCAAGGGUUCCUGUCCAACGUUAAUCGGGGCAGGGUGAGUCGACCCCUAAGGCGAGGCUGAAAAGCGUAGUCGAUGGGAAACAGGUUAAUAUUCCUGUACUUGGUGUUACUGCGAAGGGGGGACGGAGAAGGCUAGGCUAGCCGGGCGACGGUUGUCCCGGUUUAAGCAUGUAGGCGGAGUGACUUGGUAAAUCCGGUUGCUUAUCAACGCUGAGGUGUGAUGACGAGCCACUACGGUGGUGAAGUAGUUGAUGCCAAGCUUCCAGGAAAAGCCUCUAAGCAUCAGGUAACAUUAAAUCGUACCCCAAACCGACACAGGUGGUCAGGUAGAGAAUACUCAGGCGCUUGAGAGAACUCGGGUGAAGGAACUAGGCAAAAUGGUGCCGUAACUUCGGGAGAAGGCACGCUGGCAUUAGGUAAUGGGACUUGCUCCCGGCGCCGAAGCCAGUCGCAGAUACCAGCUGGCUGCAACUGUUUAAUAAAAACACAGCACUGUGCAAACACGAAAGUGGACGUAUACGGUGUGACGCCUGCCCGGUGCUGGAAGGUUAAUUGAUGGGGUCAGCCGCAAGGCGAAGCUCUUGAUCGAAGCCCCAGUAAACGGCGGCCGUAACUAUAACGGUCCUAAGGUAGCGAAAUUCCUUGUCGGGUAAGUUCCGACCUGCACGAAUGGCGUAAUGAUGGCCAGGCUGUCUCCACCCGAGACUCAGUGAAAUUGAACUCGCUGUGAAGAUGCAGUGUACCCGCGGCAAGACGGAAAGACCCCGUGAACCUUUACUAUAGCUUGACACUGAACAUUGAGCCUUGAUGUGUAGGAUAGGUGGGAGGCAUCGAAGCGUGGACGCCAGUCUGCGUGGAGCCAACCUUGAAAUACCACCCUUUAAUGUUUGAUGUUCUAACUCGGCCCCAUAAUCUGGGGUGAGGACAGUGUCUGGUGGGUAGUUUGACUGGGGCGGUCUCCUCCCAAAGAGUAACGGAGGAGCACGAAGGUUAGCUAAUCACGGUCGGACAUCGUGAGGUUAGUGCAAAGGCAUAAGCUAGCUUGACUGCGAGAGUGACGGCUCGAGCAGGUACGAAAGUAGGUCUUAGUGAUCCGGUGGUUCUGAAUGGAAGGGCCAUCGCUCAACGGAUAAAAGGUACUCCGGGGAUAACAGGCUGAUACCGCCCAAGAGUUCAUAUCGACGGCGGUGUUUGGCACCUCGAUGUCGGCUCAUCACAUCCUGGGGCUGAAGUAGGUCCCAAGGGUAUGGCUGUUCGCCAUUUAAAGUGGUACGCGAGCUGGGUUUAGAACGUCGUGAGACAGUUCGGUCCCUAUCUGCCGUGGGCGUUGGAAGAUUGAGAGGGGCUGCUCCUAGUACGAGAGGACCGGAGUGGACGAAUCACUGGUGUUCGGGUUGUCAUGCCAAUGGCAUUGCCCGGUAGCUAAAUUCGGAAGAGAUAACCGCUGAAAGCAUCUAAGCGGGAAACUUGCCUCGAGAUGAGUCUUCCCUGGGGCUUUAAGCCCCCUGAAGGAACGUUAAAGACUAUGACGUUGAUAGGCUGGGUGUGUAAGUGCAGCGAUGCAUUGAGCUAACCAGUACUAAUGAUCCGUGAGGCUUAACCUU
rnacentral:rRNA from 1 species